ensembl:lncRNA
CCCGGACCGGAAAAACAGAACACCGGAAUUUCCGGUAGCGCCGUAAGAAGGAAAAUCAGGGAAUUCGAUGCACCUGUGCCUAGUUAGGGACAGCGGUUGGUGAUUGGAGGAUACGCUGGACAAGGCAGUACUUAAGGCCAAGUUAUUUCACAGUCUGGGCGCUCUUUCUGGCUGGAAUUGUAUGAUUGUGAAGACAUCGCGAACCUUAAAGGUUGAGAAGUGAACGGAUUUUACGGCGAACUGAGACGACGUGAAAAAGGGGAUUGGAAGCGGCAUUGAUGUGAGUACUAAGAGCCAGUCGAAAGUGCCCUGUAUAUUGACCUGGCGUUGUGUAGAUCUCUCCAGGAGGAGGAGGGCGGCCCUACCCCUAAUAUAGCGUGGUGGGAGAGCCGAAGGAAUACUUAUUGAAGUAGUCACAACGACGACAUCACUAGCUAGGCCGCAUAUUCCAUCGCCAGAUCCGAACCAAGCGAAGUGAAGGAAGACGGGUGUCCUUUUCGUACACUGAGUGUGGUGGAUAAACCCCCGCCUUCACGCACUUCGUCGCGGGAGGACAAGGAGACUGCUGGUCCUAGCCUAGUUCAGUACAGUAUAUGUUGUGCGCGUGCUUCAGAUCUCCGGAGAUAGCACAGUACGCUGUGUCCAGCCCAGAGGUGAAAGCCAUCCAAAGCAGAGUAACUGUGCUUUGCGUCCAAGUUGAUACCUGUGGAGAGGAAAGGAAAGAGAGAUUGAUACCUGUGGAGAGAAAAGGAGAGAGAGUGAAUAACACGAGGAGGAAUAGAGCGAACCCUGUACUUACAGUACGCUGUGUCCAGCCCAGAGGUGAGAGCCAUUCAAAGCAAACUAACUGUGCUAGUGUGCCCAAGUUGAUGCCUGUGGAGAAAGAGAAAGAGAGUGAGCACCCAGAGAACGAACUGUGUGAACCAGUACUUACUGUGAGCUGCAAUCAGCGAAGAGGAGGAAGAAGGAGGGCGCUACGGAUACCUAAGACUCAGGCCGGGGCCUGAGUCCC